UAUUAAAAAUUUAACCCCCCCCCCCCCCCCUUUAACACCUGUAUAGUCUAAUAAAAUUUCUUUCAUAAUAUCCCACGUAGCCAUAGUAUCAUCUGUCAGGUUGUUUAAUUGCUGAUAUUUCUAGCUUCCAUGCAGUUUUUCAAACACCUAAAAGCCAGGAGACAGCUUAAUGUUUCAGCCCCCCAAAACCCCGACAAACCAUGUAUAGAUUUUACUGAGACAACCAGACAACACCACCACUUGUGAAGAGGCAGGGAGGAAUCUUUGUUAAUAAUUGAGAAAUACUGACAAGCAGAUGUGUGAUCUGCACAACAGAAAACAAAGUGUGGGUCUAGAACAUGAUGAAUCCCUGGAGUACAAACACCUCAGCACCACAGGUGGGGAGACAUCAUUGCCUGCAAGGGUUGGGCUACGAUUUUUACAAGAUUUGACUUGUCUGGAACUAACGAGCACCUGUGCUGACGCAUAGGUCCAUAGGAAAACAACAGACAAUGCACCUUCCCCACAGUUCAGUAGAUCUAUAUGCUCCCUGCUUCAACAUAUCCCAGGAUUUACCUAUGUUUUGGGGCUGUUAUCAAUACCUGAGGUUGUGAGCUGUCAUUAACAGGCCCAUGCAGUGAAACUAAGAAGAUGUUUCAAAUCAGAAAAACUAAUUAUGGCAGCAGCAUUCAUAUUUUAUUUGAUUUAUUGACUUUCUUACAACAUAUAAAAGCCAAUUUAAUACAAAGAAAGUGAAGAAAAAGAAGUAAAAACCAAUGGGCCUUCAGCUGCCUAAACCACAUUUCUAGUGCCACUUCAGAUGAUUUGCUAUGACCUGCUUGGCCUCCAGUUGCUAUGUCAUAUCUUCUAGUCCUGUGCUCUCCUAUGCCUCUGCUGCCUUAUGACAUCUAAAAUGGUCUGGACACCUAUGUUUAAGCAGUUGAAUUUCACCUACUCAUAGUGGUUACAGAGAGACAAACAAAUUGAAACAAUAAAGACUUCAUAUCUUAAUAGCCAAUGCAAAACCAGUUUAACCUACUAACCUGAUUCCUGUUACAUAUACAGUGUCAACUCCUAAAAGUGAUGGAAGGCAAGAAGAGAAAACAGUACAUGGAAAACUGAGGAGCAGUGAAAUAAUACGAGCCUACAGGCUGACGUGUCAAACAAAUCAAAGCCAUUUAUUUUCAUUACAAAUGGCAGUCUUCAUGGCUCUGGAGCUAUCUGACCUGUAAGUAACUGGAAGAGCAAUCACCAUGCUCAGCAAGAAAUAACUGAUGCAGAGGUUCACUGAAACCACACAUUGAACGUACAAACUACUGCUUUUCCCAGUUCUACUUUCUUAUCAAAGAACCUGCUGCAAUUUUUCAGGUGUUACUUUGGGUAACUUCUGUAGACUCAAUAAAAAAGUGAAGUUUUUUCUCUGUGUUAGGAUGUAUGCCAGAUCAAAGCCCCAAAUUCAAAUACCAUGGAGAUUUGUGUAUUUGUGUGUUUGUGCAUUCAGAACUGAAAACUCAGUUUUGCACUUCAAGAGGGGGAAAGGCUGAAGUUCUCAGUCAGUUCAAUAUUGUGGAUUCUGAUGCUGAAAUCUCAGUAUUUUGGCCGGAGCUUUCAUAAUAUAUUAACUUUGAUAUAUUCUGUGUAAUUUCUUGCUCUCAUCUUAGGUUGCAAAUAUAUACAUACUUCAAACUUAAUAACACCAGAAUUUCUGUUACCAUUUAAUACACUGCUGCUUUAUAGUUUCCUGUUUUCUCCAGGUGCUGCUACCUGAGUGUGGUCUAAUCCCACUGCACCCUAGGCAGCAUCAGAUGACUGAUCUCUGCAGAUCAUCUUUUGAUCUUAUUAUGUUUUUUCUACCUUCUUUAGCACAGGAGUGGUCAAGAGUGGGAGAAAGCUCUUAACUGUACUUUCAUGGAUCAAUAUAGUCCUGAGUACAGGAUUAAGCACUGCUUAAGAAUCCUUCCCAGAACAGGUUCAUCCAGUCUCCUAUUCAAAGCACACUGAACUCCAUGUGAGUUUUCCCAUUAAGUUCAGAGGCUUUUGGCUUACUCCAUGAGAAAAAGAAAGCUUCCGGUAGAAAUUGUAACUAAGUGACUCUUCCAACAUUUGGGAUAAAAUUCAUCUCCUAUAUAUGUAGGUCAGCCAUAGCAAUUUGCCUGGCAUAGCAAGAGAAAAUCAUAACUCUUGUUUCUUGCAUGUUUUUAACACAAAGAUGUCUGUGCCUAAAGAAUCUAAAGCAGCUUUAUUACAAAUUAGAGCAUCACUUCUGAUCAAAAAGGGACUGAAUCCAACAAACAAGGUUCUGAUUCUUCAACAGACAAAGAUCUCUGCACUCAUGCUCUACUGCAAGACUCAAAUCUAAAUUAGAAAAUUAGCUGAGGCCAUUAAAAAGCCAUUUAUCAUAUGAAGUUGCUAAGGGCAGUAAGUGGCAGUGUUAUCUAACAUACCUUUAUACUUCAUCCUAACUUUCUUCUCCUGCAGCAUUUGAGCUGAGCUGUUCAGCAGCUUGUUGAAGAUACACGCUUCAAAUGCAGGAGAUGUAUUUCUAGCAAUUAAAUGCAGUAAUUUAAGCGAAGACUGUAAUGAAUAUACUGGAUGGAGAAUGAAGAUAAGGAUAGAAGAUGUAACGUGCAUAUUUUUGGCAGCUGAUUCUAUUCUGAAAAUGAGAAAAU